UUUGGUGACCUGCAUAACUACCUUAUGGUAGUUGUAGUAAUUUAUAUGCUAUAUAAAGCUUGGAUCUUCACAACUUAACACCAAAUAUUUCAUGGACCUAAAAAGUAUCGCCAUGUUACUGAUGAUUUGUUUUCUUUUUUCCCGAAAUGGCAUUUAUAUAUUUUUAUUUUGCCUUAUGCUUUGAUUCUAAGGUUUUUAUUUUCUUCCUUUCAAAUGCAAACAGAGCACAAGAGGUGUUUGCUGCCGUCUCAGAUCUGCAAGGCUUCUUGGUCUGCAUCAAAACCUAUUUAUCAUAAUGGCCAGGUGUAGUCAGCCUAGGCCGUGCAGCACAUUCAAUUAUGGUGGUUUCCCUAUUACGACGGCAAAUCCCUCCAUCUCCCAGAGUCUCUUCUGUUCUUAAUGCCAUUAGUAUUUAAGCAAAGAUGUUAGCAUUGAUCUGUAUAUCCCUGUACAGAUAUCGUGUUAAAUAGAUACAUCAGACUUUUUAUAGACUCUAUUGUAGAUAUUGAAUUUUGUCCCAGUAAAUAAUAUAAGAAAUGAUGGGAGGAAAAAAAAGUUAUGUGGUGAAUGGAUUUUUACUGUUUUUAUU